UGAUAGCGAAGAAGCGUGAGGUUGCUGUUUGGAAUUACAAAAUAUACAGGUUCUAAGCAGGUUUUCCGUGGAGCGAAUGUCAAGUUAUAGAAAACUGGCGACAA
rnacentral:ncRNA from 1 species